GAUGAACGCUGGCGGCGUGCCUAAUACAUGCAAGUCGAACGAAACUUCUUUAUCACCGAGUGCUUGCACUCACCGAUAAAGAGUUGAGUGGCGAACGGGUGAGUAACACGUGGGCAACCUGCCCAAAAGAGGGGGAUAACACUUGGAAACAGGUGCUAAUACCGCAUAACCAUAGUUACCGCAUGGUAACUAUGUAAAAGGUGGUUAUACUACCGCUUUUGGAUGGGCCCGCGGCGCAUUAGCUAGUUGGUAGGGUAAAGGCUUACCAAGGCAAUGAUGCGUAGCCGAAUUGAGAGGUUGAUCGGCCACAUUGGGACUGAGACACGGCCCAAACUCCUACGGGAGGCAGCAGUAGGGAAUCUUCCACAAUGGGCGAAAGCCUGAUGGAGCAACGCCGCGUGGGUGAAGAAGGUCUUCGGAUCGUAAAACCCUGUUGUUAGAGAAGAAAGUGCGUGAGAGUAACUGUUCACGUUUCGACGGUAUCUAACCAGAAAGCCACGGCUAACUACGUG
rnacentral:rRNA from 1 species